GCACCCGUAGCUCAAUGGAUAGAGUAGCUGACUUCGAAUCAGUUGGUUGGGCGUUCGAGUCGCCCCGGGUGCA
rnacentral:tRNA from 1 species